rnacentral:tRNA from 1 species
GCCCGUUUGGCUUAGCGGUAAAGCGCAUCACUAGUACUUGCAAAGCAACUAAUUCCCAAUGAUGAGAUCCUAGGUUCGAUUCCUAGAACGGGCA